UACGGGAGGUGCAAGCGUUGUUCGGAGUGACUGGGCGUAAAGCGCACGUAGGUGGGUUUGUAAGUCGGAUGUGAAAUCCCCGGGCUUAACCUGGGAACUGCAUCCGAAACUACAAGUCUUGAAUGCUUCAGAGGUUGGUAGAAUUCCAGGUGUAGGAGUGAAAUCCGUAGAUAUCUGGAGGAACACCGGUGGCGAAGGCGGCAUCCUGGACCAAUAUUGACGCUGAGGAGCGAAAGCCAGGGGAGCAAACGGG
rnacentral:rRNA from 1 species